rnacentral:rRNA from 1 species
AGCUCCAAUAGCGUAUAUUAAAGUUGUUGCAGUUAAAAAGCUCGUAGUUGGAUUUCUGGUACGGUGCGCCUGGUCCGCCCCUUUAUGGUGUGUGAGUACCGGCGCGCGCCUGCCAUCCUUCCUGAGAGCCGCGCUACCCUUCACUGGGCCGGCGUGGCAAUCUGGAUCGUUUACUUUGAAAAAAUUAGAGUGUUUCAAGCAGGCAUACUCGCUUUGAAUACAUUAGCAUGGAAUAAUAAGAUAGGACUUGGGUUCUAUUUUGUUGGUUUCUAGGACCGAAGUAAUGAUUGAUAGGGAUAGUUGGGGGUGCUAGUAUUUAGCGGCCAGAGGUGAAAUUCUUGGAUUCGCUAAAGACUAACUAAUGCGAAAGCAUUCACCAAGGAUGUCUUCUUUAAUCAAG